GAACAGUCAAUCCUACUUGGAUAACUGUGGUAAUUCUAGAGCUAAUACAUGCACCCAAGCCCCGACUCGGGGGGCAACUCUCGAGAAAGGGCGCUUUUAUUAAAUCAAAACCAGUCGAGAGCUUCGGCUCUCGUUAAGUUUGGUGACUCUGGAUAACUUCACGCUGAUCGCACGGUCUUCGCACCGGCGACGAUUCUUUCAAAUGUCUGCCUUAUCAACUGUCGAUGGUAGGUUAUGCGCCUACCAUGGUUGCAACGGGUAACGGGGAAUCGGGGUUCGAUUCCGGAGAGGGAGCCUGAGAAACGGCUACCACAUCCAAGGAAGGCAGCAGGCGCGCAAAUUACCCACUCCCGGCACGGGGAGGUAGUGACGAAAAAUAACGAUACGGGACUCUUCCGAGGCCCCGUGAUUGGAAUGAGUACACUUUAAAUCCUUUAACGAGGACCCAUUGGAGGGCAAGUCUGGUGCCAGCAGCCGCGGUAACUCCAGCUCCAAUAGCGUAUAUUAAAGUUGUUGCGGUUAAAAAGCUCGUAGUCGGAGUUCUGUCUUCGGCCGAGGGGGGAUUCUGCCUACACGGUAUGAGUCUCGUUCCCUUUGGGUGUGCGGUGUCAAAGCCGUGCACUCUUAACGGUCGGACAAGUCCGUCGGAGUGUGGUUAUUGUUGGAAGGGCAACCGACCAAUGAGGCCACCGUAAUCGUUCGGGGUGCCUUUAAUCGGGUGUCUCGGGCGGCCGACAUAGUUUACUUUGAGCAAAUUAGAGUGCUCAAAGCAGGUGACUACCGCCUGAAUAGUACAGCAUGGAAUGAUGAAAGAGGACCUCGGUCUGAUUUUGCUGGUCUUUAACGGUCGGGCUUCGGCCCGGCCUAUGCAGACCCGAGGUAAUGGUCAAUAGAGACGGACGGGGGCAUCCGUACUGCGGCGACAGAGGUGAAAUUCUUGGACCGCCGCAAGACGAACGACAGCGAAGGCAUUUGCCAAGAAUGUUUUCCUUGAUCAAGAACGAAAGUUAGAGGUUCGAAGGCGAUCAAAUACCGCCCUAGUUCUAACCAUAAACGAUGCCAACUAGCGAUCCGCCGGUGUUACUCCCAUGACUCGGCGGGCAGCUUCCGGGAAACCAAAGUCUUUGGGUUCCGGGGGAAGUAUGGUUGCAAAGCUGAAACUUAAAGGAAUUGACGGAAGGGCACCACCAGGAGUGGAGCCUGCGGCUUAAUUUGACCCAACACGGGAAACCUCACCAGGCCCGGACACUGGAAGGAUUGACAGAUUGAGAGCUCUUUCUUGAUUCGGUGGGUGGUGGUGCAUGGCCGUUCUUAGUUGGUGGAGCGAUUUGUCUGGUUAAUUCCGAUAACGAACGAGACUCUAGCCUGCUAAAUAGGUGCCGGGUUUUUACAUCUCCUCGCAAGGGGAGAGUGGAGUGUGUGGUUGUCGGGAUCCUGGGCUGUGGUGGUCGUUUAGGCUGCGGGGGGCAACUCU
rnacentral:rRNA from 1 species